rnacentral:rRNA from 1 species
UCAACGGCCGCGGUAUCCUAACCGCUCCGAGGUAGCGUAAUCACUUGUUCUCUAAAUCAGGACCAGUAUGAACGGCACCACGAGGGUUAUACUGUCUCCUUUUUCCAAUUAGUGAACUUAAUUUUCCCGUGAAGAAGCUGGAAUAAUUAUAUAAGACGAGAAGACCCUUUGGAGCUUUAAACAACUUAGCACCUGCACUAUAUCUUUAUAUUUCUGAAUACUUUAUCCUUGCAGGAUGACUAAAAGUUUUAGGUUGGGGUGACCGCGGAGUAGAGUAUAUCCUCCACACUGUAAGAAUCUCUUAAUCUUAAUCUUAACUAAGAGAAACACCUCUAAGUAUUAGUAUACUAACAUUUAUUGACCCAAUACAUUUGAUCAACGAACCAAGUUACCCUAGGGAUAACAGCGCAAUCCAUUUCAAGAGCCCCUAUCGCCAAAUGGGUUUACGACCUCGAUGUUGGAUCAGGAUUUCCCAGUGGU